UACGAAGGGGGCUAGCGUUGUUCGGAAUCACUGGGCGUAAAGCGCACGUAGGCGGAUCUUUAAGUCAGGGGUGAAAUCCCGAGGCUCAACCUCGGAACUGCCUUUGAUACUGGGGAUCUCGAGUCCGGGAGAGGUGAGUGGAAUUCCGAGUGUAGAGGUGAAAUUCGUAGAUAUUCGCAAGAACACCAGUGGCGAAGGCGGCUCACUGGCCCGAUACUAACGCUGAGGCACGAAAGCGUGGGGAGCAAACAGG
rnacentral:rRNA from 1 species